ensembl:misc_RNA Metazoa_SRP Metazoan signal recognition particle RNA
GCUGGGCAUGGUGGCUCAUGCCUGUAAUCUCAGCAUUUUGGGAAGCCGAGGUGGGAGGAUUGCUUGAGCCCAGGAGUUCGAGACCAGCCUGGGCAAUAUAGUGAGACCCCAUCUCUA